rnacentral:rRNA from 1 species
CCCUUAGAUGUUCUGGGCCGCACGCGCGCUACACUGAUGCAUUCAACGAGCCUAUCCUUGGCAGAAGUGCCCGGGUAAUCUUUGAAACUGCAUCGUGAUGGGGAUAGAUUAUUGCAAUUAUUAGUCUUCAACGAGGAAUGCCUAGUAAGCGCGAGUCAUCAGCUCGCGUUGAUUACGUCCCUGCCCUUUGUACACACCGCCCGUCGCUCCUACCGAUUGGGUGUGCUGGUGAAGUGUUCGGAUUGGCUCCUAUUGGUGGCAACACUGAUUGGAGCCGAGAAGAUCAUUAAACCCUCCCACCUAGAGGAAGGAGAAGUCGUANCA